UACAGAGGGGGCAAGCGUUGUUCGGAAUUACUGGGCGUAAAGGGCGCGUAGGCGGCCUUCUAAGUCGAACGUGAAAUCCCCGGGCUCAACCCGGGAACUGCGUCCGAUACUGGAAGGCUUGAAUCCGGGAGAGGGAUGUGGAAUUCCAGGUGUAGCGGUGAAAUGCGUAGAUAUCGAGAGGAACACCUGCGGCGAAGGCGGGUUGCUGGGCUGACACUGACGCUGAAGUGCGAAAGCUAGGGGAGCGAACGGG
rnacentral:rRNA from 1 species